rnacentral:rRNA from 1 species
UACGGAGGGUGCGAGCGUUGUCCGGAAUCAUUGGGCGUAAAGCGCGCGUAGGCGGCCCGGUAAGUCCGCUCUGAAAGUCCAGGGCUCAACCCUGGAAAGCGGGUGGAUACUGCCGGGCUAGAAUCCGGAAGAGGCGAGUGGAAUUCCUGGUGUAGCGGUGGAAUGCGCAGAUAUCAGGAAGAACACCCGUGGCGAAAGCGGCUCUCUGGAACGGUACUGACGCUGAGGCGCGAAAGCGUGGGGAGCGAACAGG